rnacentral:rRNA from 1 species
ACAUGCCUACAACAUAAUGUUAAUGCAUCGGAUCCCAUUAGAACUUUGUAGUUAAGUGCACUCAAGAUAGAGUCGUACUGGGAUGGGUGACAGCCCGAGAAGUCCUAGUGCUUUACAUGCC